rnacentral:rRNA from 1 species
GACGAACGCUGGCGGCGUGCCUAAUACAUGCAAGUAGAACGCACAGUUUAUACCGUAGCUUGCUACACCAUACACUGUGAGUUGCGAACGGGUGAGUAACGCGUAGGUAACCUGCCUGGUAGCGGGGGAUAACUAUUGGAAACGAUAGCUAAUACCGCAUAAUAUUGAUUAUUUCAUGAUAAUUGAUUUAAAGAUGCUAUUGCAUCACUACCAGAUGGACCUGCGUUGUAUUAGCUAGUAGGUGAGGUAACGGCUCACCUAGGCGACGAUACAUAGCCGACCUGAGAGGGUGGUCGGCCACACUGGGACUGAGACACGGCCCAGACUCCUACGGGAGGCAGCAGUAGGGAAUCUUCGGCAAUGGACGAAAGUCUGACCGAGCAACGCCGCGUGAGUGAAGAAGGUUUUCGGAUUGUAAAGCUCUGUUGUAAGAGAAGAACGGGUGUGAGAGUGGAAAGUUCACACUGUGACGGGAUCUUACCAGAAAGGGACGGCUAAUUACGU